GGUUGCCAUCAUACCAGCACUAAUGCACCGGAUCCCAUCAGAACUCCGCAGUUAAGCGUGCUUGGGCGAGAGUAGUACUAGGAUGGGUGACCCCCUGGGAAGUCCUCGUGUUGCAACCCC
rnacentral:rRNA from 1 species